UACGGGGGGGGCAAGCGUUGUUCGGAAUUACUGGGCGUAAAGGGCUCGUAGGCGGCCAACUAAGUCGGAUGUGAAAUCCCCAGGCUUAACCUGGGAAUUGUAUCCGAUACUGGAUGGCUUGAAUCCGGGAGAGGGAUGCGGAAUUCCAGGUGUAGCGGUGAAAUGCGUAGAUAUCUGGAGGAACACCGGUGGCGAAGGCGGCAUCCUGGACCGGCAUUGACGCUGAGGAGCGAAAGCCAGGGGAGCAAACGGG
rnacentral:rRNA from 1 species